GACGAACGCUGGCGGCGUGCUUAACACAUGCAAGUCGAACGGAAAGGCCCUGCUUUUGUGGGGUGCUCGAGUGGCGAACGGGUGAGUAACACGUGAGUAACCUGCCCUUGACUGUGGGAUAACUUCAGGAAACUGGGGCUAAUACCGGAUAGGAGCUCCUGCUGCAUGGUGGGGGUUGGAAAGUUUCGGCGGUUGGGGAUGGACUCGCGGCUUAUCAGCUUGUUGGUUGGGUAGUGGCUUACCAAGGCUUUGACGGGUAGCCGGCCUGAGAGGGUGACCGGCCACAUUGGGACUGAGCUACGGCCCAGCCUCCUCCGGGAGGCAGCAGUGGGGUAUAUUGCACAAUGGGCUGAAGCCUGAUGCAGCCACGCCGCGUGCGGGAUGACGGCAUUCGGGUUGUAAACCGCUUUCGCCUGUGACGAAGCGUGAGUGACGGUAAUGGGUAAAGAAGCACCGGCUAACUACGUG
rnacentral:rRNA from 1 species